rnacentral:rRNA from 1 species
GACGAACGCUGGCGGCGUGCCUAACACAUGCAAGUCGAACGGGGGUAGCAAUACCUCAGUGGCGAACGGGUGCGUAACACGUGAAGAAUUUGUCUAACGGCGGGGGAUAGCCGGCCCAACGGCCGGGUAAUACCGCGUACGACCUCUGGAGGGCAUCCUCUGGUGGUGAAAGCCGCAAGGCGCCGAUAGAGAACUUCGCGGCCUAUCAGCUAGUUGGCGGGGUAAUGGCCCACCAAGGCGACGACGGGAGCUGGUCCGAGAGGAUGACCAGCCACAUUGGGACUGAGACACGGCCCAGACUCCUACGGGAGGCAGCAGUGGGGAAUAUUGCGCAAUGGGCGAAAGCCUGACGCAGCGACGCCGCGUGUGGGAUGAC